rnacentral:tRNA from 1 species
AGGAUAAUAGUUAAAAUUAACAUUUAAUUUGCAAUUAAAAAAUACUAUAAUAUUAGUUUAUCUUA